rnacentral:rRNA from 1 species
GACGAACGCUGGCGGCGUGCUUAACACAUGCAAGUCGAACGAUGAAGCUAGAGCUUGCUCUGGUGAAUUAGUGGCGAACGGGUGAGUAACACGUGAGUAACCUGCCCCGAACUCUGGGAUAACUGCUGGAAACGGUAGCUAAUACUGGAUACGACCUACGAAGGCAUCUUCUGUAGGUGGAAAGAAUUUCGGUUCGGGAUGGACUCGCGGCCUAUCAGCUUGUUGGUGAGGUAAUGGCUCACCAAGGCGACGACGGGUAGCCGGCCUGAGAGGGUGACCGGCCGCACUGGGACUGAGACACGGCCCAGACUCCUACGGGAGGCAGCAGUGGGGAAUAUUGCGCAAUGGGCGCAAGCCUGAUGCAGCAACGCCGCGUGAGGGAUGACGGCCUUCGGGUUGUAAACCUCUUUUAGUAGGGAAGAAGCGAAAGUGACGGUACCUGCAGAAAAAGCACCGGCUAACUACGUGCCAGCCGCCGCGGUAA